UACGUAGGGUGCAAGCGUUGUCCGGAAUUAUUGGGCGUAAAGAGCUCGUAGGCGGUUUGUCGCGUCGCUGUGAAAGCCCGGAGCUCAACUCCGGGUCUGCAGUCGAUACGGGCAGACUUGAGUGUUGCAGGGGAGACUGGAAUUCCUGGUGUAGCGGUGAAAUGCGCAGAUAUCAGGAGGAACACCGGUGGCGAAAGGCGGGUCUCUGGGGCA
rnacentral:rRNA from 1 species